rnacentral:rRNA from 1 species
CCUACGGGUGGCAGCAGUGAGGAAUAUUGGUCAAUGGGCGCGAGUCUGAACCAGCCACGUCGCGUGAAGGAUGACUGUCCUACGGGUUGUAAACUUCUUUUAUAAAGGAAUAAAGUGAUGCACGUGUGCCUGUUUGCAUUUACUUUAUGAAUAAGGAUCGGCUAACUCCGUGCCAGCCGCCGCGGUAAUACGGUGGCGCCGAGCGUUAUCCGGAUUUAUUGGGUUUAACGGGAGCGUAGGUGGGUUGUUAAGUCAGUUGUGAAAGUUUACGGCUCAACCGUAAAAUUGCAAUUGAUACUGGCAGUCUUGAGUACAGUAGAGGGAGGCGGAAUUCGUGGUGUAGCGGUGAAAUGCUUAGAUAGCACGAAGAACUCCGAUGGCGAAGGCAGCUUACUAGACUGCCACUGACAUUGAUGCUCGAAAGUGUGGGUAUCAAACAGGAUUAGAUACCCCUGUAGUC